rnacentral:rRNA from 1 species
GACGAACGCUGGCGGCGCGCCUAACACAUGCAAGUCGAGCGAUGAAGUUUCCUUCGGGAAAUGGAUUAGCGGCGGACGGGUGAGUAACACGUGGGUAACCUGCCUCAUAGAGGGGAACAGCCUCCCGAAAGGGAGAUUAAUACCGCAUAAUAUUACAGUUUCGCAUGAAACAGUAAUUAAAGGAGCAAUCCGCUAUGAGAUGGACCCGCGGCGCGUUAGCUAGUUGGUGAGGUAACGGCUCACCAAGGCGACGAUGCGUAGCCGACCUGAGAGGGUGAUCGGCCACAUUGGGACUGAGACACGGCCCAGACUCCUACGGGAGGCAGCAGUGGGGAAUAUUGCACAAUGGGGGAAACCCUGAUGCAGCAACGCCGCGUGAGUGAUGACGGUCUUCGGAUUGUGAAGCCCUGUCUUUGGGGACGAUAAUGACGGUACCCAAGGAGGAAGCCACGGCUAACUACGUGCCAGCAGCCGCGGUAAUAC